rnacentral:rRNA from 1 species
GAUGAACGCUAGCUACAGGCUUAACACAUGCAAGUCGAGGGACCGGCGCACGGGUGAGUCACACGUAUCCAACCUGCCCUUUACUCUGGGAUAGCCUUUCGAAAGAAAGAUUAAUACCCGAUGUAAAGGAUGGGGAUGCGUUCCAUUAGGUUGUUGGUGAGGUAACGGCUCACCAAGCCUUCGAUGGAUAGGGGUUCUGAGAGGAAGGUCCCCCAGAUUGGAACUGAGACACGGUCCAAACUCCGACGGGGGGCAGCAGUGAGGAAUAUUGGUCAAUGGGCGUUAGCCUGAACCAGCCAAGUAGCGUGAAGGAGGAAGGCUUAGGGGUAGUAAACUUCUUUUAUAGAAGAAUAGGUAUUAUAUGAAUAAGGAUAGGCUAACUCCGUGCCAGCCGACGCGGUAAUUC